UUCACGCAGCCAGGAUUGCCCCUCGCCGCCGAGAGACACAUCCAGAGUUCCAGACCCAGUCAUGGAUGCAUCGAGCCAGCCGCUCGCUUCCUUUCACGACCUCCCGAUUUCGCCGUCUCGCUCGCUCGUUGCUCCCCGUCCACGCCUAUGUAGCCGAUCGUUUGGGGCUCGGCGGCGGCCAUGCCACCUCAACUGUGCAGUCGUGCCCCUGCAAGCCGGCGUCACCGCCCCAUCCGCACAUCGGCGCUCGGCCAAGAGGCAGGAGCUAGCCAACAACCAUCUAUGUUGAUUUGAGAAGCCAUGAAAUUGAGGUACGCGGAAGAUGAACAAACCCGAGAACUGAUGAUCCAACGAUGACUCGGAGUUUGAGCAUCACAUAGCCGUCAGCUGUGGUUGCUUGUAGGCGGAUGUGUCUCAGACCUAAGUUGUUGCCGCUGGACAUACAUGCAUCCUCGCUUGGAGGCAGUAGUGCUGGGAGAUAUGCAUGUGCAAGGUGAAGAAGUGGACGAAGGCCGAAGAAGCAAUAUGCUGAUCGAGCGCUGCACUUCAGCGGGUGCCUCGCUGACGAUGGGGAAGGAAGGAUCAGAAGUGACGGCUAUAGCGCUAGGAAAUUGGAAACCCUAGCAAUUGACCUUCUCUAUAAAACAUGUGUGGCAGGCUGGCAGGGGACGUGGAACCUGCUUCAGGGAAGAUGUUUUAUGCAAAUCAAAUCAAAAUAACUGCAAACAAAACUCCCCCGGGGUUGUUGUUAGUUGGAGGCACUUGUUGUUUCAAGCAAGCCAUUGAUUGAUGCUUAUUGGUGGAGGGGGAGUAU